ACAACAAUUUCUGUUGUUUCUGUAGGGGUAAUGAUGAUGAUGUCUUCUCCCUGAGCUUGUCCUUCUUCGUGAAAAUCAAGCUACUGUUUUUCAUUCAGUGAAACCUGCCUUUUGUGUUUUUGCCAGAAUGAAAGCUGUGUGAUCCAGUGAACUGAAAAGCAUAGGCAGAGGAACAGGUGAGCUCUCUUGCCAGCCAUCUGGUACAUCUGUGAUCUCCGAAAGAGCCGUGCAACAAGCGUCUGAGCUCGCUGUACGUGACCUGGUAUGGCUGCACAGCCAGGAGAAACAAGCGUCUGGCCAUCAGGCGCGAUAGCACGACCUACCCUGUGUGCUCCUCGACUUCUGCUGCUCCGUGUGCCUUCCUGGCCUGGGCAAGUACUUUCUAAUUAUCUGGAUUAUCCCACCUACUGUCUGGGAGCUCAAGCAUGGCUCAUCUGAAGAAAACCUCAGAGAACAACAACAGUCAAACGUAAGUGGAACUGAAUAUAUACAGUUAACAAUCAAGUGUAAUUGCAAGGAAUAUUAUUUGGACUAGAUGAGUAUA